UGUAGUCAAGUUUCUAAGAGCAGACGGUGGAUGCCUUGGCAUCUGGAGCCGAAGAAGGACGUA
rnacentral:rRNA from 1 species